GGUGGAAGCCACCAGCACCAGACUUGAUUGUUACAAUUCUUGUACUGGAAGUCGUCUACAGGAGGAUUUCCCUCUGGUAGGAUCUUCAGACCUUGCCUUGACUUGUAAGAAGACUCAGAAGCGUCUUCAACGAGUUAUAUUCUCAAAAGUAGAAUAAGAUUGGUUGAAAGAUUUCGAGUGACAACUUCUGGUUCUAGAAAGAUGGAGUACAAAUAUUCUUCUUGUUUUCCACUAAGGACAACUCAAAAACCUAGCCAUGAUAUGUAAAAUGAGCACAGGAAGAUACUGGAAGAAAGAGAGAUGGCAGUAAACUGACUGAGGAAUAAUUCCAGGGAAGAAGAGAUUUGGAAGUAGGAGGCUCAUGCUUCCAUUUGGCACUGCCACAGACUCCCUCAUCCUGCUGGAGAAAGCCAGUUAAAACAGAAGGAUCAAACAGUAUCAGAGUCUUACAAUAUGAAAGGACCAAGUGACCUUAAAAAAACAAAACCACUCAUCACAAGCAUUUCCAUUAUGCAACUAUUAAAAAUAUAAAUCAGGAGAAAUAUCAAUAAAUGCUCAUGUGACAGUGUUUAAUCUUACAAAUGACUUAGAUUAGUGGGAAAUGUACGAGAUUGUAGUUACUGGCUAUUAAUUUCAAUCUCAAAAGUCUUGCCAGAGAUGAGUACACAAAACUUUACGAAUAUUGUGCACUGAGCCUGACAUUGUGAUAAAUAUAUAUAUAUAUAUAAAAUAGAGCCUUGUGAAUGAAGCCUGGAAAGAGACUGACAUGAAGGUAACAAAAUCACCAAAACAUGAACUAAUGGCUUUGAUUUAUGGAAUUAAAACAUCAACUGUGAACUUGUUACAACGACGAGAAGUACAAGUUGUCAUGUCGAAAAUGAACU